GCGCGAGUUCAGGCAUUUACUCCUCCCUGUUUCGUGAAGUUCUGGCCCCAUCUCUUUGUGAUUACAGUUUCAGUUUCUUCCGUGGGCCCCAGGUCUCACAGCAUUCAGGAGGAAAGAGCUCAACGCGGAAUCACAUAGGCAAAGGCUCUGAUUAUUUUCCUUGCCAUAGAAGACAAAACC